rnacentral:snRNA from 1 species
AUGCUCGCUUCGGCAGCACAUAUACUAAAACUAGAACGAUACAGAGAUUAGCAUGGCCCCUGCUCAAGGAUGA